AACAUAGGCAGUAGAUACAUGUGUAUUUAAAUAUUAAGGUAUACUUCUGCCGCCUUCAGCCAUACAAAAACAAAGCAGGCCCAAAAUAUAAAAAUCUGUAAAUAAACUUUUACUUUUAGCAAUUUGUCAUUUUGUGUUUGUGUUGCAAAGUAUUUCAAUUGUGAUAUUAUAAAAAUAUAAUAAUAAGAAAAGAUGCCACACACAAGUGAAACUCGUAGCACUGGAUGCCACUGUUGUUGCUUUCAUUGUGGUUGCUUUGGAGGCUUUCACAUUCCACUUCCUCGCCCAUGUGAACGGAUUCGUCACUGGUUUCGCACUUGUAGAUAUAUAAGGGACUUAUUACGCUCUUGUUAAACUACUUGCCCUUAGUUUUACGUUACUCCGACCAUACGUUACAGAGACCAUGGAUUAACCAAAAACUAAUUCAAUGUCAAUUUUAUAAGAUUAUAUUUAUAUUCAUUUAACUUUUGUAUAAUUAUAAUCUUAUUGUUUAAUAUUUAUGUAUCAAAGUAAAUACUCACUCAGAGUAUGAAAUAGUUACAAAUAUUUUUAUUUUAAUCAUCUAAAAAUACAAAUUUAUUUCAAUAUUCAUGAUUUCCUUUAUAAUGUCAAGCCAAUUAUGGUUCAAGGAGUCUAGUAUAUUUUUUCCUACUCACUUCGUAUGGACAUAUAUGUUUGUUAGUAUAUAAUAUUUAAUAUCCUUUUGCCUUUGCCCUUGUAUAAUAUUUUCAUUGUUGAUACCACUUUCAUUAAUAAAUAAUUAAUUGGUGCUUUAUAUUUAGUACACAAGAAUUAUUCAUAUGAAAGGACGUGAUGUAAUAAUUAAUCAAUGUAAAAUGUUUUUUAAUAUAGGGUAUAACAAUAUUCCAAAAGCAAUAAAACAUGUUUUAUAAUUCAAAAAA
rnacentral:lncRNA from 1 species